AAGCUACACUCUGUGUCGAUCCACCUCAGUGAUCCGACUCAAUUUGAGCUUUGCUACAGCAAGACCUGUUUGUCUCUGUCAGAUGUUUUCCCUCCAUUGGGGUGAAUGCUGGAGACACUGGGACACACU
rnacentral:snoRNA from 1 species